CAUUUCUCCUCACAUGCAAGACAAGUGGCAUGAGCAGGCCAUUUGUCAAUGCCCAUAAACUCAGUAAAACGACCAAAAGAGAAGGGUUGAGUUCAUUUCAACUCCUUCCAUCCCAUCUUCACUCCCUCUCUCACCAAACUCGCUCUGCAACACCUCCACCGGAGAAAACGAUGGUAAGCGGCCGCCCAUGGAGGCGCCGCCCCUCUUCUCUGGCUAACCUCAACAAUCCGUUAUUGCAUAUUGCUGAUUUUGUGGGAAUUUUGGGAUUGAGUUGGUGCGUGUGAUACCUUCCAUGUGGCUGUUAUUUGGUGAUCCCAAAGUUGUAUGAUGAUUCUAUGUAUAGAUGAUGAGGAUGAAUCAUGGAGCACAUGGAAAGGACAUGAGGAAGCUGCACGAUGGAUGUAGGAACUCAGUCAUGCCACAUUUGCACUUUAUUUCUUUUUUUCUGAAAUGAAAUAAUAUGUACCAUAAACCUUGGUGUACUAUUUUAUUUCAAAACUUAUUUAAACGUA